rnacentral:ncRNA from 1 species
GGGGGAGUAUGGUCGCAAGGCUGAAACUUAAAGGAAUUGAUGGAAGGGAACCACCAGGAGUGGAGCCUAAGGCUUAAUUUGACUCAACACAGUGAAAGUUUCAAGGUCCAGACAUAGUAAGGAUUAAUAGACUGAGAGCUCUUUCUUGAUUCUAUGGGUGGUGGUGCAUGGUCGUUCUUAGUUGUGGAGCGAUUUGUCUGGUUAAUUCCAUUAACGAAUGAGACUUCAGCGUGAUAACUAACUAUGCGGAGGUGUCUCUUCACGGCCUGCUUCUUAGAGAGACUAUAGCCUUUUAGGCCGCGGAAGUUUGAGGCAAUAAUAGGUCUGUAAUGCCCUUAGAUAUUCUGGGCCGCACACAUGCUACACUGAUGUAUUUAAUGAGUAUAUAGCCGUGGCCGAAUGUCCUAGGUAAUCUUUGAUAUUUCAUCAUGAUGGGGAUAGGUCAUUGCAAUUGUUGGUCUUAAAUAAAGAAUUUCGAGUAAGCACGACUCAUCAUCUCAUGUUAACUACGUCCCUGCCCUUUGUACAAACCACCCUUUGCUCCUACCGAUUGAAUGAUCCAAUGAAAAGUUCUAAUUCCGGCAACGUGGGGGGUUCACUGCCCACGAGAUUAUGAGAAGUCCAUUGAACCUUAUCAUUUAGAGGAAGAAUAAGUCGUAACAAGGUUUCUGUAGGUGAACUUGCGAAAG